rnacentral:misc_RNA from 1 species
AACUUUUGGCAAUGGAUCUCUUGGUUCUCGCAUCGAUGAAGAACGCAGCGAAAUGCGAUAAGUAAUGUCAAUUGCAGAAUUCAGUGAAUCAUCGAAUCUUUGAACGCACCUUGCGCUCCUUGGUAUUCCGAGGAGCAUGCCUGUUUGAGUGUCAUUAAUAUAUCAACCUUCUCUUUUUGAGUGGUUUGGAUGUGGGGGUUUGCUGGCCUCUUAAAAGGUCUUGGCUCUCCUGAAAUACAUUAGCAGAACAACCCUGUUCAUUGGUGUGAUAACUAUCUACGCUAUUGAAUGUGAAGGGCAGUUUGGCUUUCUAACAGUCCUUGGACAAGCUCAUCAUUAAUGUGACCUCAAAUCAGGUAGGACUACCCGCUGAACUUAAGCAUAUCAAUAAGCGGAGGCU